rnacentral:rRNA from 1 species
GAUGAACGCUAGCUACAGGCUUAACACAUGCAAGUCGAGGGGUAACGAGAGGAAAGCUUGCUUUCCUUGUCGACGACCGGCGCACGGGUGAGUAACGCGUAUCCAACCUGCCCCCAACUAGGGAAUAACCUUGCGAAAGUAAGACUAAUACCCUAUAAUUUCCUCAGAUGACAUCUGACGAGGAAUAAAGAUUUAUCGGUUGUGGAUGGGGAUGCGUCUGAUUAGCUUGUUGGCGGGGUAACGGCCCACCAAGGCAACGGUCAGUAGGGGUUCUGAAAGGAAGGUCCCCCACAUUGGAACUGAGACACGGUCCAAACUCCUACGGGAGGCAGCAGUGAGGAAUAUUGGUCAAUGGGCGGAAGCCUGAACCAGCCUAGUAGCGUGCAGGAUGACGGCCCUAUGGGUUGUAAACUGCUUUUAUACAGGAAUAAAGUUAGCCACGUGUGGUUAUUUGUAGGUACUGUAUGAAUAAGGACCGGCUAAUUCCGUGCCAGCCGCCGCGGUAA